rnacentral:rRNA from 1 species
UACAGAGGUCCCAAGCGUUGUUCGGAUUCACUGGGCGUAAAGGGUGCGUAGGUGGCCAGGUAAGUUCGGUGUGAAAGCUCGGAGCUUAACUUCGAAAUGUCAUUGAAUACUAUCUGGCUGGAGGGUCGGAGGGGAGACUGGAAUUCUCGGUGUAGCAGUGAAAUGCGUAGAUAUCGAGAGGAACACCAGUGGCGAAGGCGGAUCUCUGGACAGUUCCUGACGCUGAGGCGCGAAGGCCAGGGGAGCAAACGGG